rnacentral:rRNA from 1 species
UACGAAGGGGGCUAGCGUUGUUCGGAAUUACUGGGCGUACAGCGCGCGCAGGCGGUGGCCGACGUGCCGUGUGACAAGCGGGGGCUCAACCCCCGAGGGCCACGGUAAACGGGGUGACUGGAGGAAGGGAGAGGGAUGUGGAAUGCCUGGUGUAGCGGUGAAAUGCGCAGAUAUCAGGAAGAACACCCGUGGCGAAGGCGGCUCUCUGGGACGGUACUGACGCUGAGACGCGAAAGCGUGGGGAGCGAACAGG